rnacentral:rRNA from 1 species
UACGUAGGGGGCUAGCGUUGUCCGGAUUUAUUGGGCGUAAAGAGCGUGUAGGCGGCCCGGUAAGUCCGCUGUGAAAGUCGGGGGCUCAACCCUCGAAUGCCGGUGGAUACUGUCGGGCUAGAGUGCGGAAGAGGCGAGUGGAAUUCCUGGUGUAGCGGUGAAAUGCGCAGAUAUCAGGAGGAACACCAAUUGCGAAGGCAGCUCGCUGGGACGUAACUGACGCUGGAGACGCGAAAGCGUGGGGAGCAAACAGG